GAUGAACGCUGACAGAAUGCUUAACACAUGCAAGUCAACUUGAAUUUGGGUUUUUAACUUAGGUUUGGGUGGCGGACGGGUGAGUAACGCGUAAAGAACUUGCCUCACAGCUAGGGACAACAUUUGGAAACGAAUGCUAAUACCUAAUAUUAUGAUAAUAGGGCAUCCUAUAAUUAUGAAAGCUAUAAGCGCUGUGAGAGAGCUUUGCGUCCCAGUAGCUAGUUGGAGAGGUAACGGCUCACCAAGGCGAUGAUGGGUAGCCGGCCUGAGAGGGUGAUCGGCCACAAGGGGACUGAGACACGGCCCUUACGCAUACGGGAGGCAGCAGUGGGGAAUAUUGGACAAUGGACCGAGAGUCUGAUGCAGCAAUUCUGUGUGCACGAUGAAGUUUUUCGGAAUGUAAAGUGCUUUCAGUUGGGAAGAAACAAAUGACGGUACCAACAGAAGAAGUGACGGCUAAAUACGUG
rnacentral:rRNA from 1 species